CAAGUCGAAGCGAAAUAAAUUGUAGAGCUUGCUUUUGUAGUAUUUUAGUCGGCGGACGGGUGGAGUAACGUAGUGGGUAACCUGCCGUUUACUUCGGGGUAGGUAAUCACCUGGAAACGGUGACUAAUACCGCCAUACGGUUCUUGGUAAGGCAUCUUCUGAGAAAGAAAGGAUUAUUCGGUAAAGAUGGCCCGCAUCUGAUUAGCUAGUUGGUGAGAUAACAGCCCACCAAGGCGACGAUCAGUAGCCGACCUGAGAGGGUGACCGGCCACAUUGGGACUGAGACACGGCCCAAACUCCUACGGGAGGCAGCAGUGGGGAAUAUUGCACAAUGGGCGAAAGCCUGAUGCAGCAACGCCGCGUGAAGGAAGACGGUUUUUCGGAUUGUAAACUUCUAUCAAUAGGGAAGAAAAAAAUGACGGUACCUAAAUAAGAAGCCCCGGCUAACUACGUG
rnacentral:rRNA from 1 species